ensembl:snRNA U1 U1 spliceosomal RNA
AUACUUACCUGGCAGGGGAGAUACCAUGAUCACAAAGGUAGUUUUCCCAGGGCGAGGUUUAUCCAUUGCACUCCGGAUGUGCUGACCCCUGCGAUUUCCCCAAAUGUGGGAAACUCGACUACAUAAUUUGUGGUAGUGGUAGUGGGGGACUGCGUUUGCGCUUUCCCCUG